rnacentral:rRNA from 1 species
UACGUAGGCAGCAAGCGUUGUUCGGAAUUACUGGGCGUAAAGAGUGUGUAGGCGGUGCUCUAAGUCUGUUGUGAAAUCUCCCGGCUUAACCGGGAGGGUGCGGCGGAAACUGGAGUGCUUGAGGGUGGGAGAGGUAAGCGGAAUUCCUGGUGUAGCGGUGAAAUGCGUAGAUAUCGGGAGGAACACCUGUGGCGAAAGCGGCUCACUGGACCAUAACUGACGCUGAUGCACGAAAGCUGGGGGAGCAAACAGG